AAAAACAUAGCUACUUGUUUAUAUAAGUAGUAAUGCCUGCCCGGUGAAUAUUUUAACGGCUGCGGUAUCUUAACCGUACUAAGGUAGCAUAAUUCAUUGUCUUUUAAAUGAAGACUUGUAUGAAUGGCGUCACAUUUUUUAACUGUCUCUCUUAUUUUUCUUAUAAAUUUCUAUAUAUGUGAAGAAGCAUAUAUAUAACAGAAAGACGAGAAGACCCUGUCGAGCUUUAGUUUAAAAAAGAAAUAUUAAAGUUUAUAACUAGUUUAUUUUCUUUUUUAAAUUUUGAUUGGGGUAAUCAUAAAGCAUAAAAUCUUUAAUUAAAUAGAAGAUUAUAAAUCUCUAUAUAAUAUUUGAACCAGUUAUUCUGGAAAUUAGAAUAAGUUACCGCAGGGAUAACAGCGUUAUCUUCUUUGAGAGUUCUUAUUGACAAGAAGGAUUGCGACCUCGAUGUUGGAUUGAGGCAUCCUUAAGGUGUAGCAGCUUUAAAGGGUUGGGCUGUUCGCCCAUUAAAGUCUUACGUGAUCUGAGUUC
rnacentral:rRNA from 1 species